GAUGAACGCUGGCGGCGUGCCUAAUACAUGCAAGUCGAGCGAACGGACGAGAAGCUUGCUUCUCUGAUGUUAGCGGCGGACGGGUGAGUAACACGUGGAUAACCUACCUAUAAGACUGGGAUAACUUCGGGAAACCGGAGCUAAUACCGGAUAAUAUUUUGAACCGCAUGGUUCAAAAGUGAAAGACGGUCUUGCUGUCACUUAUAGAUGGAUCCGCGCUGCAUUAGCUAGUUGGUAAGGUAACGGCUUACCAAGGCAACGAUGCAUAGCCGACCUGAGAGGGUGAUCGGCCACACUGGAACUGAGACACGGCCCAGACUCCUACGGGGGGCAGCAGUAGGGAAUCUUCCGCAAUGGGCGAAAGCCUGACGGAGCAACGCCGCGUGAGUGAUGAAGGUCUUCGGAUCGUAAAACUCUGUUAUUAGGGAAGAACAUAUGUGUAAGUAACUGUGCACAUCUUGACGGUACCUAAUCAGAAAGCCACGGCUAACUACGUG
rnacentral:rRNA from 1 species